rnacentral:rRNA from 1 species
CGGCCUUCGGGUUGUAAACCUCUUUUAGUAGGGAAGAAGCGUAACAGUGACGGUACCUGCAGAAAAAGCACCGGCUAACUACGUGCCAGCAGCCGCGGUAAUACGUAGGGUGCAAGCGUUGUCCGGAAUUAUUGGGCGUAAAGAGCUCGUAGGCGGUUUGUCGCGUCUGCUGUGAAAACCCGAGGCUCAACCUCGGGCCUGCAGUGGGUACGGGCAGACUAGAGUGCGGUAGGGGAGAUUGGAAUUCCUGGUGUAGCGGUGGAAUGCGCAGAUAUCAGGAGGAACACCAAUGGCGAAGGCAGAUCUCUGGGCCGUAACUGACGCUGAGGAGCGAAAGCAUGGGGAGCGAACAGGAUUAGAUACCCUGGUAGUCCAUGCCGUAAACGUUGGGAACUAGAUGUGGGGACCAUUCCACGGUCUCCGUGUCGCAGCUAACGCAUUAAGUUCCCCGCCUGGGGAGUACGGCCGCAAGGCUAAAACUCAAAGGAAUUGACGGAAUCACUA